rnacentral:rRNA from 1 species
AGUGAACGCUGGCGGUAGGCCUAACACAUGCAAGUCGAACGGCAGCACAGUAAGAGCUUGCUCUUACGGGUGGCGAGUGGCGGACGGGUGAGGAAUACAUCGGAAUCUACUUUUUCGUGGGGGAUAACGUAGGGAAACUUACGCUAAUACCGCAUACGACCUACGGGUGAAAGCAGGGGAUCUUCGGACCUUGCGCGAUUGAAUGAGCCGAUGUCGGAUUAGCUAGUUGGCGGGGUAAAGGCCCACCAAGGCGACGAUCCGUAGCUGGUCUGAGAGGAUGCUCAGCAUAACUGGACUGGGGACAUGGUCCAGACUCCUACGGGAGGCAGCAGUGGGGAAUAUUGGACAAUGGGCGCAGGCCUGAUCCGGACAUACCGCGUGGGUGAAGAAGGCCUUCGGGUUGUAAAGCCCUUUUGUUGGGAAAGAAAAGCAGCAGGUUAAUACCCCGCUGUUCUGACGGUACCCAAAGAAUAAGCACCGGCUAACUUCGUGC